rnacentral:misc_RNA from 1 species
AAGUCGUAACAAGGUUUCCGUAGGUGAACCUGCGGAAGGAUCAUUAACGAGUAACUGAACGGGUUGUAGCUGGCCUCUCGGGGCAUGUGCACACCUGGCUCAUCCACUCUUCAACCUCUGUGCACUUGUUGUAGGUCGGCAGAAGGGCGAGCCUUAAAACAGCUCGCUUGGAAGCCUUCCUAUGUUUUACCACAAACGCUUCAGUUUAAGAAUGUAACCUGCGUAUAACGCAACUAUAUACAACUUUCAGCAACGGAUCUCUUGGCUCUC